rnacentral:misc_RNA from 1 species
AACUUUUGGCAACGGAUCACUUGGCUCUGGCAUCAAUGAAGAACGCAGCGAAAUGCGAUAAGUAAUGUGAAUUGCAGAAUUCAGUGAAUCAUCGAAUCUUUGAACGCACAUUGCGCCCCUUGGUAUUCCGAGGGGCAUGCCUAUUCGAGCGUCAUUAUCACCCCUCAAGCCUAGCUUGGUGUUGAGGCCUGCUGUUAAGGCAGCCUCUAAAAUCAGUGGCAGUGCUGUCAGGCUCUAAGCGUAGUAAAUCUAAUCGCUAUAGACACCUGGUGGACACUCGCCAGAACCCCCCAUUUUUUAAUGAUUGACCUCGGAUUAGGUAGGGAUACCCGCUGAACUUAAGCAUAUCAAUAAGCGGAGGCU